rnacentral:rRNA from 1 species
UACGUAGGUGGCGAGCGUUAUCCGGAAUUAUUGGGCGUAAAGAGCGCGCAGGUGGUUGAUUAAGUCUGAUGUGAAAGCCCACGGCUUAACCGUGGAGGGUCAUUGGAAACUGGGGGACUUGAGUACAGAAGAGAAGAGUGGAAUUCCACGUGUAGCGGUGAAAUGCGUAGAGAUGUGGAGGAACACCAGUGGCGAAGGCGACUCUUUGGUCUGUAACUGACGCUGAGGCGCGAAAGCGUGGGGAGCAAACAGG